rnacentral:rRNA from 1 species
AGUGAACGCUGGCGGUAGGCCUAACACAUGCAAGUCGAACGGCAGCACAGUAAGAGCUUGCUCUUACGAGUGGCGAGUGGCGGACGGGUGAGGCAUACAUCGGAAUCUACUUUUUCGUGGGGAAUAACGUAGGGAAACUUCCGCUAAUACCUCAUAAGACUUACGGGUGAAAGCAGGGGAUCUUCGGACCUUGCGCGAUUGAAUGAGCCGAUGUCGGAUUAGCUAGUUGGCGGGGUAAAGGCCCACCAAGGAGACGAACCGUAGCUGGUCUGAGAGGAUGAUGAGCCACACGGGACCUGAGACACGGUCCAGACUCCUACGGGAGGCAGCAGUGGGGAAUAUUGGACAAUGGGCGAAAGCCUGCUCCAGACAUACCGCGGGGGUGAAGAAGGCUUUCGGGUUGUAAAGCCCUUUUGUUGGGAAAGAAAAGCAGCAGGUUAAUACCCCGAUGUUCUGACGGUACCUAAAGAAUAAGCACCGGCUAACUUCGUG